GCAAACAAUACAGUCAAGAUGGCUAAAGGUGAUCCCAAGAAACCAAAGGGCAAGAUGUCUGCUUAUGCCUUCUUUGUGCAGACGUGCAGAGAAGAACAUAAGAAGAAAAACCCAGAGGUCCCUGUCAAUUUUGCUGAAUUUUCCAAGAAAUGCUCUGAGAGGUGGAAGACCAUACCUGGGAAAGAGAAGUCUAAAUUUGAUGAAAUGGCACAGGCAGAUAAAGUGCACUGUGAUCGGGAAACGAAGCAUCAUGGACCAGCUAAGGGAGGCGAGAAGGAGGACCCUAAUGCCCCUAAGAGACCAGUCUGGACUUUUCCUAUUCUGCUCUGAAUUCCACCCAAAGAUCAAGUCUACAAACCCUGGCAUCUCUACUGGAGAUGUGGCAAAGAAGCUGAGCAAGAUGUGGAAUAAUGACAGUGAGAAGCAAUAAGGCAGUGAAGCUGAAGGAGGAGUAUGAGAAGGAUAUUGCAGACUCUAAGGCUAAAGGGGAGUUUGGUGGCACCAAGGGUCCUGCUAAAGUUGCCCGGAAAAACAUGGAUGAGGAAGAUGAAGAGGAGGAGGAGAAAGAGGAAGAGGAGGAGGAUGAAUAA